UCCGAUUAGGUUCGAGAAGCUAGUGGUGUCAGGUGGAAUUCCAUGUUCGAUGAUGACAAAGCUCCAUACCAAGCAAAGAAUUGAAAGAACAAUGAAGUUACUGUAGAAUCUUUUGAGCCAUCACCUCAUCUCUAGA